UACGUAGGGUGCGAGCGUUAAUCGGAAUUACUGGGCGUAAAGCGUGCGCAGGCGGUUUUGUAAGCCAGAUGUGAAAUCCCCGGGCUUAACCUGGGAAUGGCAUUUGGGACUGCAAGGCUUGAGUGCGGCAGAGGAGACUGGAAUUCCCGGUGUAGCAGUGAAAUGCGUAGAUAUCAGGAGGAACACCGAUGGCGAAGGCAGGUCUCUGGGCUGACACUGACGCUCAUGCACGAAAGCGUGGGGAGCAAACAGG
rnacentral:rRNA from 1 species